rnacentral:rRNA from 1 species
CCUACGGGAGGCAGCAGUGAGGAAUAUUGGUCAAUGGACGAGAGUCUGAACCAGCCAAGUCGCGUGAAGGAUGACUGCCCUAUGGGUUGUAAACUUCUUUUAUAAAGGAAUAAAACGAGGCACGUGUGCCUUUUUGCAUGUACUUUAUGAAUAAGGAUCGGCUAACUCCGUGCCAGCAGCCGCGGUAAUACGGAGGAUCCGAGCGUUAUCCGGAUUUAUUGGGUUUAAAGGGAGCGUAGAUGGGUUGUUAAGUCAGUUGUGAAAGUUUGCGGCUCAACCGUAAAAUUGCAAUUGAUACUGGCAGUCGUGAGUACAGUUGAGGUAGGCGGAAUUCGUGGUGUAGCGGUGAAAUGCUUAGAUAUCACGAAGAACCCCGAUUGCGAAGGCAGCUUACUAAACUGUGACUGACAUUGAGGCUCGAAAGUGUGGGUAUCAAACAGGAUUAGAUACCCGUGUAGUC